rnacentral:rRNA from 1 species
GAAGCAUGACCGUAAGGACAUGUGGACAGUAUGGGAGUGAGAAUGUUGGCAUGAGUAGCGAGAUGUGGGUGAGAAUCCCACAGGCCGUAAACCCAAGGUUUCCAGGGGAAGGUUCGUCCGCCCUGGGGUAGUCGGGACCUAAGCUGAGGCCGAAAGGCGUAGGUGAUGGACAACAGGUUGAUAUUCCUGUACUACCGAUAACCGUUUGAGAGAAGGGAUGACACAGUAGGAUAAGCUAAGCACACUGUUGGUUAUGUGUGCCCAAGCAUUGAGGCAGUCAAAGUAGGCAAAUCCGCUUUGAUAAUGCUGGGAUGUGAUGGGGAGCGAAAUUUAGUAGCGAAGUAGCUGAUUUCACACUGUCAAGAAAAGUCUCUAUCGAGGUUAAAGGUACCCGUACCGCAAACCGACACAGGUG